rnacentral:rRNA from 1 species
GACGAACGCUGGCGGCGUGCUUAACACAUGCAAGUCGAACGGAAAGGCCCUGCUUUUGUGGGGUGCUCGAGUGGCGAACGGGUGAGUAACACGUGAGUAACCUGCCCUUGACUUUGGGAUAACUUCAGGAGACUGGGGCUAAUACCGGAUAGGAGCUCCUGCUGCAUGGUGGGGGUUGGAAAGUUUCGGCGGUUGGGGAUGGACUCGCGGCUUAUCCGCUUGUUGGUGUGGUAGGGGCUUACCAAGGCUUUGACGGUUAGCCGGCCUGAGAGGGUGACCGGCCACAUUGGGACUGAGAUACGGCCCAGACUCCUACGGGCGGCCGCGGUGGGGCGUCUUGCGCCGUGGGCGGGAGCCUGAUGCCACAACGCCGCGUGCGGGAUGACGGCCUUCGGGGUGUACACCUCUUUCGCCUGUGCCGCGGCCUGAGUGCCGGUCCUGGGUCCGGCCGCCCCGGCUCCCUCCGUG